rnacentral:sRNA from 1 species
ACCAUUCGGCGGCGCUCCUCCUCCUCGCGUGCCGCCGGAGACUGGCGCCUCCUCCUCGACUGCCAGUCCUGCAAAUAGCGCCUGCCGAAUCCUCCCCCGGCAGGCGCUAUUU